UGAGAGGCAUUAGCCCCUUUCCUGGCAUGGAGUAGUAAAAGCUAUUCAUUCUCCUUUCUUUCCAUCCACAGAGAUUCCAACCGCAUCCAUCCAGCCACCGAGUGGUGAAAUACCCUUUCUUCAGUUCCGCCUUUCCCUCCCUCUGUGCUCGGUUAAAACUUCUCCCAUGCCGCCUUGGAGCAUUUUCCUUGGUGAUCACCCGUGGUCCCCAGGUAGCCAUGACAAAACUGAAGAAACCCACAUGCAGCCCUCCAUCCAGUCCUUCACCUGCUAGGCAGUCUCCGGGGUAGCCUGAGGGCCCUGCCAGGGCUGGAUCUUCUGAUUUGGAAGAUGGUAGCAUCGCUUUCAGAGAGGAUGCUUCCUCAGAGAAUUAGGUGACAUUGUAUGAAAUAAAAAAGGCAUUUUAACAUCUGGCAAGGAUUUACAUUUUAAGAGGUGAACACGACAAGUCAGUGAAUGUGAAAUUUCUUGUCUUAAUCUUUUGGAGCAUGUAAUUGCUUUACCGCUAGUUUUGCAUAAUAGAAGAAUCUGUGAGAGUGGGCAAAAUUGGGUGUCUAGCAGCAAAGCAGUGAGCCUGAUUGUCCUUAUAGACAGCAAAUGGGUCACAUUUUAUACACUGACAGCAGACUGGAAUCAUGUCAGGUUGAUAAUUAGUUCCCAUCUGAAGAAAUGCCAUUUUGAUUACUGCAAAUCAGAUUUGUCAGGUGCUUUAUUUUCAAGCUUCAUUUUUUAGUUUAUCCAACCAAGGAUUUCUGAUGGGGUUUUACUAUCAAGUAAUAAAAUGUCAGCACUGAGUGAUCGCUGAAACGUUACCUCCCAGUGACAGUGUUAAGUGAUAGCCUUCUAGUUAAAAAAAAUUGGAAAUUGAAAUGCCCUGAAGACCAGAAGAGUGAGAAUGUGGAGCUGCUGCAGCCAUGAGGAGGUGGCACAUUGCCAGGGGUUGCGGCACUGCCCUUGCAGGUGGCCCUGGUAGUUAUGUGUUUUCGCACAGGGCUGGGGUCUGGAGAUGGCUGUUUGGAGAAUAAGUGCUGUCGAUGACCAGUGAGCAACUUCUGGGAGGAAGCCUCCUCUAUCUGCAUCGCAGAAGGAAAUCCUGUAUACCUAGCUGCAGCUGUAUCGAAGAAGUUGGUUUUACUCACCAUAAUAUGUACUGUGCCUAAGACAGUUUAAAUCUCUAUGUGGACAUCAUUAUGACACUAAGAACUGAAUGAGAACACAAUAGCCACAGGCAUCAGGAGCUUGUUGGACAUUUACAAGUAGCCUUUGAUGUUAUUAGGGUCUGGUCUGAUUCUCACAGGUGGGUCAUGGUGCCUUCUGUUGGACAAAAGGACUCAUCAAGGUCUCAUAUCAAGCUCUCAUUAUAAGCACCCGGAGACCAUGAUGAAGUGAAAUAAAACAAGAUCACUUAAUAUUUCUGUCUAAGAAGACCACCAUGCACCAUAUAAAAUGUUAAACAUUCCUUUCUCUCUUAGUUUUUGUGUCCAGUGAAUUGACAAUUAUAGCUUUAGCCUUGCUCUACCCUGCCCUGUCUGUAGAUAAGAGGUAUUGAAAUACUCAGGCAUAUAAUUCACUCUGGCAUGAAUGCCCCUAUCCCAAAUCACCCAACCAGAGUUCCAAUCCUGUAAUAAAUUUUGGUUUCUUAUGGAUUCA